rnacentral:lncRNA from 1 species
ACAGAUCAAUUUCCAUACAGAUAUACAGAUAUUCUCUCUAAUUAUAUCUUCUCUUUAUACGUGUUGUUUACUUUUGUAGAAUAGAGCAUGCUCUGAACAGAAUAUGAGAGGUCAUGGGAAGGAUUUGCUGAGUCGAGCCGGUAGGUAGAACAAGGAACGGAAUUUCAUUGUAGUGGGCUCCGUGAGUCCAGCUUCAUUGGUUAGGCCUUAUUAUUCGUUGGGAGUAGUUUCAGAAAACAAAAAUAAUUGAAACAGGUUGGGUUGGGUCUUCAGUUCUCUCUCCUCCUCUCACCAUGCCCAGUUGCUCAGAGAACGAGCAUCUCCCUCGAAGGAAACCCUAGUUUCCUCCACCGCGAUCGCCGCUGCUGGACUUCUGAUUGUCGGCGUCAGUGAUGCCAGAGAUAUUCGUCUGUUUGUCCUGCUCCAGGUUCGCACCUCAAUUGCCAGUCGCAAGCUUCGUCGCGGUAGUUUUCGAGUCGUCGCGGCCUAUAACCCCUCAUCUUGCUCAGUUGGUCUUUUCCCGCCAUCCCUCGUCGUGGUCAUCUUGCUCUGCCCACUAAAUCAUUAGUUUUGGCUCUGCUAAUAAUAGAGUAAUAAACUAAGGAAAAGUCUAGGGGACCAGCAACUUUUCCAAAUUUUGGCCAGCAUGUAACCAGCAAAGAAAAGUGAGUCAUUGGAUGAAAUCUCAC